AGAGUUUGAUCCUGGCUCAGAAUCAACGCUGGCGGCGUGCCUAACACAUGCAAGCCGAACGAGAAAGUGGAGCAAUCCAUGAGUAAAGUGGCGCACGGGUGAGUAACACGUGACUAACCUACCCUUGAGUGGGGGAUAACCUAGGGAAACCUGGGCUAAUACCGCAUAAUACCUACGGGUCAAAGGAGCAAUUCGCUUUAGGAGGGGGUCGCGGCCGAUUAGUUAGUUGGCGGGGUAAUGGCCCACCAAGACUGUGAUCGGUAUCCGGCCUGAGAGGGCGCACGGACACACUGGAACUGAAACACGGUCCAGACUCCUACGGGAGGCAGCAGUGGGGAAUUUUGCGCAAUGGGGGAAACCCUGACGCAGCAACGCCGCGUGGAGGAUGAAGUCCUUCGGGACGUAAACUCCUUUCGAUCGGGACGAUUAUGACGGUACCGGAAGAAGAAGCCCCGGCUAACUUCGUGCCAGCAGCCGCGGUAAUACGAGGGGGGCGAGCGUUGUUCGGAAUUAUUGGGCGUAAAGGGUGCGUAGGCGGUUUGGUAAGUCUGAUGUGAAAUCUAUGGGCUCAACUCAUAGUCUGCAUCGGAAACUGCCGGGCUUGAGUGUGGGAGAGGUGAGUGGAAUUUCCGGUGUAGCGGUGAAAUGCGUAGAUAUCGGAAGGAACACCUGUGGCGAAAGCGGCUCACUGGACCACAACUGACGCUGAUGCACGAAAGCUAGGGGAGCAAACAGGAUUAGAUACCCUAGUAGUCC
rnacentral:rRNA from 1 species